UGGAGAUAUAUAAUGGCAGGACGAAAUCCAUAUCCUGAUGAGCCAUACGACAAUCCUCACUGAUAUCUCUCAAAUGGGCCGCCUUCUGGGCGUAUGUACAUCCGCUCAUGCCACCUAAACAAAUUAUUUUGGAAGAAGAACUUGAAAUGCAACAUCACGAAAUUUGCAUGCUUCAGGUCACUCUGCAACAAGAUUUAGGUUCUGCACGAGAAGAAUUUAGGCAAAUGAACAUUGCAAUUACCGAAAGUUAAAAAGAAAAUGAUCUGCAUUCAAGGAAACUUAUUAAGAGGGGAUUGAAGCUUGAAGAUGGUAAGAAAGCAACUGAAUCAUUCAUUCAACUAAUUUUUACUCGAAAUUAAUUUAUGAAUUUUGAUGGCAUCACUCUCUCUAACAUAUUAGAAUCAUUCUUUAAACCCGUUUUUAGCAUUGUUCCCAUUAAACAGAAUGGUAAGGUGGUUAUAAGUUUCGAUACAACUAAUUAG
rnacentral:lncRNA from 1 species